UACAGAGGGUGCAAGCGUUGUUCGGAAUUAUUGGGCGUAAAGCGCGUGUAGGCGGCUUUGCAAGUCGGGUGUGAAAGCCCUCAGCUCAACUGAGGAAAUGCGCCUGAAACUGCAGAGCUUGAGUACCGGAGAGGAUGGCGGAAUUCCCCAAGUAGAGGUGAAAUUCGUAGAUAUGGGGAGGAACACCGGUGGCGAAGGCGGCCAUCUGGACGGAUACUGACGCUGAGACGCGAAAGCGUGGGUAGCAAACAGG
rnacentral:rRNA from 1 species